CCUACGGUGGCAGCAGUGGGGAAUAUUGGACAAUGGGCGAAAGCCUGAUCCAGCCAUGCCGCGUGUGUGAAGAAGGCCUUCGGGUUGUAAAGCACUUUCAGUGGGGAAGAAAGCCUUGGGGCUAAUACCCUCGAGGAAGGACAUCACCCACAGAAGAAGCACCGGCUAACUCCGUGCCAGCAGCCGCGGUAAUACGGAGGGUGCGAGCGUUAAUCGGAAUUACUGGGCGUAAAGCGCGCGUAGGCGGUCUGAUAAGCCGGUUGUGAAAGCCCCGGGCUCAACCUGGGAACGGCAUCCGGAACUGUCAGGCUAGAGUGCAGGAGAGGAAGGUAGAAUUCCCGGUGUAGCGGUGAAAUGCGUAGAGAUCGGGAGGAAUACCAGUGGCGAAGGCGGCCUUCUGGACUGACACUGACGCUGAGGUGCGAAAGCGUGGGUAGCAAACAGGAUUAGAUACCCUAGUAUC
rnacentral:rRNA from 1 species